rnacentral:rRNA from 1 species
GACGAACGCUGGCGGCGUGCUUAACACAUGCAAGUCGAACGGAAAGGCCCUGCUUUUGUGGGGUGCUCGAGUGGCGAACGGGUGAGUAACACGUGAGUAACCUGCCCUUGACUUUGGGACAACUUCAGGAAACUGGGGCUAAUACCGGAUAGGAGCUCCUGCUGCAUGGUGGGGGUUGGAAAGUUUCGGCGGUUGGGGAUGGACUCGCGGCUUAUCAGCUUGUUGGUGGGGCAGUGGCUUACCAAGGCUUUGACGGGUAGCCGGCCUGAGAGGGUGACCGGCCACAUUGGGACUGAGAUACGGCCCAGACUCCUACGGGAGGCAGCAGUGGGGAAUAUUGCACAAUGGGCGGAAGCCUGAUGCAGCAACGCCGCGUGCGGGAUGACGGCCUUCGGGUUGUAAACCGCUUUCGCCUGUGACGAAGCGUGAGUGACGGUAAUGGGUAAAGAAGCACCGGCUAACUACGUG